ensembl:rRNA 5S_rRNA 5S ribosomal RNA
UUCUACUGCCACACCACCCUGAACGUAUCUGAUCUUGGAAGCUAAGCAGUUUUGGGCCUGGUUAGUAAUUGGAAGGGAGACGGAUGUUUGAUCUGGCAAUUCUUGAAG